AAAUAAUUGAGGAGGGCCCCGCAGACCAUGCGUCUGUUGAGCCUUGGCUCUAAGAUUCUGAGACAGAAGCAAAUCAGCCUGGUCAAUCCAUAGGGGACAUGAUGGUCAUUUGAGAGGCAGCAGCUGAAAGUUAUGAGCACUGUCUCUGCUUAGUGGUGCCUGUCAGCAGCCUGCGUCUCAGCAGGACUUUUCCCUCAACUUGCCCUGCACUUAUUAUGCUUCUCUUCAGGAUCCAAGGGACAUGAGCUGAUUCUCUCCUCUGUCAGAGGGAGCUUGGAAGUUUUAUCCUAUUUGCAAGACUAUCCCCUUCAUCCCAGGCAAGAAAAUCUUUCUUGAACUCUUCAUGGCCUCUGCCUCUGCCAGCUCGCACUCAUGGAGACAUCUGACAGUCUGGCUCUUCUCGUUUUGAGGCAGCCAGUCUGUCCCUCACUGACCACUCCCCUCCUCAACAAGAAUCUACAUCUGCCUCUGUGCAUACCAGCAGCACUGAGAUGUGGGAGUAGCUUGCAGCAGCAGGCCUAUACAUCUGAGGCCACGAGUAAGGCUGAAGCGACAGGCAGCAAGCAGCCAAGAGAGGUGCUGCUACACUCGGAGAACAACAGCCCCCCACAGCCAACAGAGCUGAGACAUUGGCAGGGUCUGCUGUAACCGAUACAAAGAAAACCCAUCCCAGCCAAAGCUGGACUCUUGGCACAUCUGUAACUGCUGAAAGAGUUAUACAAUUUGAAACAAAAAAGCAUUUUUAAGGCCAGUGGGGAGGAGGAGGCUUCUGCCUACAUAAAACCUGUCAUGCACUAUGUACACAGACAUUUAUAUUUCAGUGGCGUUGGUGAUAUAACUUUUCUUUUUAAAAGUAUGUGCAUGUGCUGUAAUGAAAGUUACUGGGAAUGGAUAUGCAGCUGGAAAAAUGUGGUCAAGGUUCAACUUUUCAGGUCUAUUCAUGCCUGUGAAUUAAUUUAGCUUGCCAUUUUAUGAUUUUAAGUUAUGAAAUGUUCAUGCAAAACAUUAACAGCUAAAACAAUCCAAGAAACAGUCUAUUAUGCCAAAGUCUAAUCAUUAGACAAUAAUUAGGCUGUCAUUUACAAAACAUAGCAUUUGUGAUAUUUCCAAAUGAAGCAACAGACAUGCCAUGUGUCAAAAACAGGGAUUGGUUCAGACAGGUAAGAGCCUCUUUAUUUGACAGUUGCCAGCUUAAUUAUCUGAGCAAAUUAAAGCCUUGUUCCAUUGUGCCAGUGAACCCUGGUUUGAAAGAAGAGCUUACAGAGACAUUCUCAGUACAAGCCCACAGAUAAUAAAAGAAAAAAAUGCUAAGAAUACAGUAGAUUUUUCCCUUGAAUUUCAUCAGAGUGACAGAUUCUUGUUCAUCUUAUUAUCUGAGACCUCAAGACAUUCCUUUAACACAUACACCAGCAGAAGUUAAAUAUCACAACAUCCUGAAGAGCUUUGUGAAGCCUGUUUUAUGGCUAUUGAAAGUGAGGCACAUAUUAAGUCCAGCGUUUUUUAAUAACAACCAUGGAAGUCAUGUGACAAGAUGCAUUUUCAGGGUUAAAAUAUUAAAUCAAUAGUUUGCUAGGUUAGGGGCCCAAAGUACACUCAGCUGUCGAUGUGCCCAUGUUUUUUAUUCCUAGGCUCAAGUUAAUCUUUUACUCAUGUUUACCCACUGACAGAUCCUCACAGCCUGCUAGCUGGGAGAGGUAGAAAAUUAAGAUGCACUUAAGUCAUUGCACUCAUGCACAUUGUUUUACUGGUAUAAACAUAGAUAAACCAUUUAAGCUCAAGUGUGGAAACAGUAACGGAUGCUGGUUUUGUGUGACAUAAACAAAGAUAGUGAUAUUUUACAUUCAAAUAUGCCACUUUGGGCUCACACAGCAGCUUGUUUGUGGCUGAACUGUCCAGCCUGACAGCAGGAAAAACAUCUUGCAGCCCUGCAUGUAACUGUUGCAGCAGGUAUUUUACAUUUUGCGUAAUGAUGAUAAAACCUUUGCAUUUACAGAUUAAGAAUUACUUAAUAAAGACACAAAUGCACAAUUUUCAGCAGUGAACAAAUGCUAUUCCUCUAAUGGGCAAAAAAAAGCAUGGUCUUUCCUCAGUGUAGAGACCUGCUGUCUUUCCUGAGAACAUCUAUGUGAGCCUGCAGGUUUCAUUUCAGGUAGCAGCAGAACUCACCUUGGGAAAGAUUAACAUUUAGUACUGUAAAAGGAAAGACUUGUUAGAGAUCAAUAUUAUCUCUAUUCAUAGUUUUAUGAUAAGUUUUGCAAUGUUUUUUUUUCUUAUGAGAUCAGUCUUGGAAGUAUGCCUAUGGCAUUCUGAGCUUUUAUUUAAAAAAGUGGAGUAGACACCUAUGUAACUAGAGCUCCUGCCCACAGAUAGGCUUGAAUGUCUGACCAAAAACGGGUCUCCCUCAAAAUAUCAGAAAACUUUUUUUCUUAAAAUGGUUUUUGAGUAUUGAUAGUCAGUUCUUAGACUCACAGCCCUGUAUGCAGAUGCACAUAUACUGUACUUACCCGUUCAUAGAUGUAAACAUGAGUUUACCUGAUAAGCAAAUACUGGGGGUGUUUUCCAGUUUGAUAUACUCAGAAGCCAGCAUUAAUGCUUUGGCAGUUGCUGCCAGAAACAAGCAGCCCACCCACUGUAGCCAUUUUAAAGGCUGACAGAUACAGCUUUAAGUACCAGCAAGCUGUAAGACAAAGUGAGUAAUUUUAUUGCCUCACACAAGACCUAGCACCAGUUGCUAGUGAGUCUGUGUUUCUCAGAAAUGUUUAUUUGGACAAACAGUUGCUCAGACAUUUAGGCACUGUAUAGACAUUUAGGAAUUUCUUUUAUUUUGUCAACAUGCCUUUUAUUUUAUAUAUCAACCUAUGUAGAGUCAUGCUAAACUUACACAGAUAUUUGGCAGAUACUCUAAGAGUAGAUUCUGUGAAAUCCCACAUAAAUUGGGAAGGGUAAACACUGCAAAGGACAGAAAAUACUAUUCAAACAUUUACUGAAAGUUAAAACAGAGGAACAAAAAAGACAUUAUCUAUGGCAUUUAAACAUCCCCAGUAUAGGCACGUAUAGGGGUUUUGCAGUGGUGAAAUGCACUUAUGCUCACAGCACCAUUUAGCGGUAGGAGGUUAUACUGCCUCUUUUUCCAUAGAGCAGGAAAGUAAGCACAGGCUUCUCAAAUCUUUUACUAGUACCUCAAGCCAUCACUCUUGUAUUAUAACUAGAAACAUACAAUGUAAACAAUUCUGGGGAAUGAGAUACUGCCAAAUGAGGACAAAAGAAGAAACAUGUAUAAAGAAAGAGAGGAAGGGAGAGAUAUGGAAAAAGAUUUUGAAAGAAACACAGAUAAGACAGUCGAUGUGACUUUUUUGUGCAAUAUGGUAACAAGAAAAAAUUCAAUUACAAGCCGUGGGGCAUUAGGUCAUGAAGAAGAGAGGUUGUAUAACCCUGUCCAUACGGUUCUGGUGGGAUCAUACCUAAAAAACACAUUUGGUUGUGAGCAAUUCACUAUAAGGAUUAUUGUGCCAAACUGGAAUAGAUUCAGAGAACAGCUAAACAAUUAUUAAAUGGUUGAAUUUAUGAGGAAAGAUAAAACAGCUAAAUAUAUACAUAGCUUGGCUAUGAGGUAUCUAAAGGGAGACAUUAAUUGUCUGUUAGUACAGUAUUCAAAGGUCUAAAUGUCAAAGAGGUUGAAAAAUCAUACGAAUUAUUUAGUGAGAUAUUAAGAGGAUGUAGCUAAGGCUAAAGAAAUGAAAUAGUCUCAAGUGAUAGAGCUUGAGAAAGGCUGGCCCUCAACCAUGUAAUAUAUCAAUACAGUCUUUAGUUUAAUGGCCAUGUUAUCUGUCUGUAGGUUUAUCGAGAAUACAUGUGUGUAGGCUAGGGAGCAGUAAGGAAGGCAGUAAAGGCAGUUUCACUCCAAAAUUAAUUUGUGGCUAAUAAUACUCAAUUUAUGCUCUCAGUGAACAAAUGACAUGAUUUAUGUAUAUAAAGUUUUCAAAUCCUUGUAGAAACAAAGUGUUUGGUAUAAGGACUACAGCAUUUAGCUAUCAAAAAUUGGAGUUUCUGCACUGCGAUUUGCAUGCGGACUACACAUUCAUUGCAAACUCUGAUAUUAGCGUUUCCAUUACUGGUUCGCAUCUGCAGAAAGUACAUAUGCAGUACAACUGAAUAAACUUAAACUGUUCAGUGGAUUUAAAAGAAUGUACUUUCCUGCCUACAGGAUUUUCCAGCAUGAGAAAGAAAUCUCCAGAGGUUUUUCUUUUGUUUCCAUGUAAGAUGGAUGAAACUACACAAACACAGAGACCCCAAACUCAUUUAAUCUCCCCUCAUUCCCUGGCAAAGAGUGUAUAAAACUUUGGAGAUCUUUGGUUCUGCUAAAAAAAUAGACUUCAUCCAUUUCCUCUGUGUUGUUACGGUUUUUAUCUAUGGUGCUUUGGAUGGAAGUUGCCAAACAACAUCUGUGUUGCUCAUGAAAAACAAAUGAAAAUGUUUUCAAUUUGUUUAGGUCAGCAAAAAACUAUAUUUUCACGUGAAAUAGUCCUUGUUCUAGCAGCUAUCUGAUGAAGAAAUGACUCACAAACACAUGAAUCAGAAUUGCUCCCAGUGUUUUGCUGCCUCGGGUGAAAUACCAGCCAAAAUACCCAUUCAGUUUUUUAUCAUGUUUGACAAGUUAAUUUAAGAGUGCUUUCUAUUCAGUCAGAUAUUUGUGAGAUAAUUUGCAUUUUUGUUUUUGCUGCGCUUUCUGCUCUUAUUCUAUUGUCUUCGUGCUCCAGCAUGUUUCUUUCCUCUUGUUACAAUUAUUUCCUUAGUCCCAGGGACUGUUUUACUGGAGUCCCAUAUCUUCUGGUGCAUGCCAUCCCAGUUGUCACACAUUGUCACCUAGUGAGACGUGAGGCUCAUGAAUGCACUUACCCUUGAAUGAAGGGUACCCUGCACCUUGGCACUUUAAGGGCCUGGGAUUUAUGGGAGAGUUAGAGUGAUAUGAUGGUGAAGGAAAGAUCUCUAAAGAGGGAGAAAAGGCAAUAGCUUCAGCUGCAAAACCCUCUUUGUCCUGUUUUUAUUUAAUUUCAAUGAUCCUUGAUGCUUGUACUUUAGUAUCUGCAAUCUCUACUUCCUAUCUUUGAAAUGCUGCCUCUCCAAAUCUGAAAGCAUAGAAGACCUUGCAAUCCAAUCUUCUGGUGGCAGAUAGGCGCUCCUUCUCUGCCCUUCACUUAUAAAUAGGCAGGAAGGACCAUCCCAAUAAGAGUCUUCUGACCUUAUUGGCUCUGCAGGAACAGCUGAGACAUGACUGAUAGAGAUCACCCAAAUGUCACAUUUUGGAAACGCUUUAAAGUAGUUGCUGGCAGAAAAGCUCUGCCUCAUCCCACAGGAUUUUGGUUUAACAAAAGCUCCCAGUUCCAUGAUAUAGAAGAUACAGGUGUGAGACAGGUGUGAGAGCACAGAGCCUUUUUGUGAGUUAUCAGCUUUAAACUUCAGGUCAAAGGUCUGAAACUAAUACAUGUCACAAAAUCACAGAAUCACAGAAUGGUAGGGGUUGGAAGGGACCUCUGGGGAUCAUCUCAUCCAACGCCCCUGCUUGAGCAGGGACACCUAGAGCAGGGGGGACAGGACAACAUCCAGGUGGGUUUUGAAUGUUUCAGAGAAGGCGACUCCACAGCCUCCCUGGGCAGCCUCUUCCA